UUCAGGUAAUCACCUUUUCCUUUGCUCAUGUUCCUACUGUGGGAGGACAAACCCAUUUUUUCCCCAUUGUGGUCAUGUCUCACAAUUGAACCCUGGAUUCUACAGAUGGUCUCUGACUUUCCGUAUCUAUUUAACAAAUUAUCUUUUUUAGGAGACAUCACCUGUACCAUUAUUGAUGAACAAGAUCAACUGUGGUGUCCUCCAGGCCAAACUUCACAAUCUUUUCACCAAAACGUGCGAUCAAGCACUCUCCUUUCCAACCUUGCUUCAUCAGCAACAUCUUUUUAAUAAACAAAGAGAUGGGAGACUUUUGCAUGGUUAUUAAUCUCCAGAACCUAAACCAUUUCAUCGUUUGUCAAUUUUGUCAUCAUUUGUGCAAUCAACUUUGCAAGGGAGACUGGUUCAUAAGGCUAGAACUCAAAAUACGCCAAUCUCACUGUUACAGUUACCCCUUAUGCAAAUUCUACUAUAUAUGAUCAGUUUGCUUCACUGACAGACCAGGUUCGUCUGCAACUAAACUGGUGGCUAUGUAAUGCAGAGGCAUGGUAUGGGAAAGAGAUUUUCUGAGCCCAUACAAAUUUCAUAUUGGAAUCAAAGGCCAGACCUCAACACAUAGCGUAUAGUCCCCAACUGAAGAGCUCCCUUCACAUAAAUUGUUUAGAGUUGAUUGCAGGCUGCAUUGCGAUCUGCACUUUUGGCAAGAACAUUUCCAAUUGUACCCUUGGUCUACAUGUGUACAAUGUCACAGCAGUCUUAUAUGUGAACUGGCUGAGAGGAUCUUAUUCCAAAUUACAGUUAGACCUCACAAAAUACAUCUUUUAUGCAUGGAC